ensembl:lncRNA
GUCAGGGUCCGGGUCAUGGUCAGGGUCAGGGCAGGGUAAUGGUAAUGGUCAGGGUAAUGGUCCGGGUCAGGGUCCGGGUCAUGGUCAGGGUCAGGGCAGGGUAAUGGUAAUGGUCAGGGUAAUGGUCCGGGUCAGGGCAGGGUAAUGGUCAGGGUCAUGGUCCGGGUCAGGGCAGGGCAGGGUAAUGGUCAGGGUCAGGGUCAGGGCAGGGUUAGGGUCAGGGUAAUGGUCAGGGUAAUGGUCAGGGUAAUGUUCAGGGUUAGGGUCAGGGUAAUGGUCAGGGUAAUGGUCAGGGUCAGGGUAAUGGUCAGGGUAAUGGUCAGGGUUAGGGUCAGGGUUAGGGUCAGGGUAAUGGUCAGGGUAAUGGUCAGGGUCAUGGUAAUGGUCAGGGUCAUGGUAAUGGUCAGGGUAGGCUGGCAGAGGAGAAGGACUUGCUAGCUCCAUGUCAGUCACACUAACAAGUGCUACUGGCCCCAAGUGGUUAGCUGAUUAUGGCCUUUGUCCUAACAUAUUCCAUCCAUGCUAUACACAUGUUCAG